UGGGGAAUAUUGGACAAUGGGCGCAAGCCUGAUCCAGCCAUGCCGCGUGUGUGAAGAAGGCCUUCGGGUUGUAAAGCACUUUUGUCCGGAAAGAAAAGCUUCGGGUUAAUACCCCGGGGUCCUGACGGUACCGGAAGAAUAAGCACCGGCUAACUUCGUGCCAGCAGCCGCGGUAAUACGAAGGGUGCAAGCGUUACUCGGAAUUACUGGGCGUAAAGCGUGCGUAGGUGGUUUGUUAAGUCUGAUGUGAAAGCCCUGGGCUCAACCUGGGAAUUGCAUUGGAUACUGGCAAGCUAGAGUGCGGUAGAGGAUGGCGGAAUUCCCGGUGUAGCAGUGAAAUGCGUAGAGAUCGGGAGGAACAUCUGUGGCGAAGGCGGCCAUCUGGACCAGCACUGACACUGAGGCACGAAAGCGUGGGGAGCAAACAGG
rnacentral:rRNA from 1 species